rnacentral:lncRNA from 10 species
GCCACCACACCCAGCCCUUUUUCUUUUUUUCUGUAGACCUCCUCAGUGGACAUCUUUUCAACAAUUUGACUGUGAAGAUCAUGAGCACAUCAUCUUCUUUGUAUUUAUCCUGCCUGAAAAGAGCUUGGUAUUAUUACAUAUAUACUGAGAGCACUUUGUCAAAAGAGCCCAUGAUGAUUGUGGAUUUCAGUAUUCCUCCCUGAAGGACUCUCAAAUUUUGUUUUACAUAUUUUUAGGCUAUAUUAUUAAGUACUGUUAAAUCAAGUUUAGCCUAAAGCUGCCUCCUUACAUAUUUAAGUUUGGCCUAAAGGUUUCUCUGUACAUUGUGAACUAUAACAAGCGGAGGUGUAAACAGACCAUAGCCUACACUUCUGCCACUAACUGAUGUUUGGCCAAUCAAUGUAGACAAGUGUUUGGAUCGUGUUCAAAUAAGGCAAACACUGAGCUGUAAUCAAUCUGGCUGUUUCUGUACCUCAUUUCCAUUUUCUGUACCUCACUUCCCUUUUUCUGUCCAUAAAUCUUCUACCACGUGGCUGCACUGGAAUCUCAGGGCAUACUCUGGCUUAGGAGGCUGCACAAUUCGCAAAUCAUUCAUUGCUCAGUUAAACUCCUUUAAAUUAAAUUUUGCUGAAGUUCUUCUUUCAUCAGACAGCAUCAGAAGUAGGAUCCCAAGUAGAGCUUCUAAUGACCCCCGAGAGCACUGAGCAACCAAGCAAGCUACCCGCCAGGCCCACUGUGUCCCUUUCUCUCCCAGAGCAGCUGGGGAGCCUGGUAUUCUCCUGGUAUUUGGAUUCUCUGAUUCCAAAGCUCCACAGAUUUGUGUUUUAAUUUUUGCUGCGGUUAUUG